UACGGAGGAUCCGAGCGUUAUCCGGAUUUAUUGGGUUUAAAGGGUGCGCAGGCGGGAUGUUAAGUCGGCGGUGAAAUUUUGCAGCUCAACUGUAAAAGUGCCUUCGAUACUGGCUUUCUUGAGUGUGGAUGAAGUAGGCGGAAUUUGUGGUGUAGCGGUGAAAUGCUUAGAUAUCACGAGGAACUCCGAUUGCGCAGGCAGCUUACUAAACCCCUACUGACGCUCAUGCACGAAAGGCGUGGGGAUCGAACAGGAUUAGAUACCCU
rnacentral:rRNA from 1 species